UCUGGCUCAGGAUGAACGCUAGCUACAGGCUUAACACAUGCAAGUCGAGGGGCAGCAUGAGAUUGGCUUGCUAAUCUUGAUGGCGACCGGCGCACGGGUGAGUAACGCGUAUCCAACCUUCCCCCUACUCAGGCAUAGCCCGGUGAAAACCGGAUUAACUCCUGAUAGUUUCACUAGAUGGCAUCUGACGGUGAAUAAAGCUCAGCGGUAAGGGAUGGGGAUGCGUCUGAUUAGCUUGUUGGCGGGGUAACGGCCCACCAAGGCGACGAUCAGUAGGGGUUCUGAGAGGAAGGUCCCCCACAUUGGAACUGAGACACGGUCCAAACUCCUACGGGAGGCAGCAGUGAGGAAUAUUGGUCAAUGGGCGCGAGCCUGAACCAGCCAAGUAGCCGUGCAGGAAGACGGCCCUAUGGGUUGUAAACUGCUUUUGUGCGGGAAUAAAGUCAGGGACGUGUCCCUGUUUGCAUGUACCGCAAGAAUAAGGACCGGCUAAUUCCGUGCCAGCCGCGGC
rnacentral:rRNA from 1 species